ACAGACUUAGUCCUAACCUUACCGUUAGCUCUCGCUAAAUACAUACAUGCAAGUAUCCGCGCCCCAGUGAAAAUGCCCCAGAUACCCUUGACAAGGCACAGGGAGCAGGCAUCAGGCACACCAACUCGUAGCCCAAAACGCCUUGCUUUGCCACACCCCCACGGGUAUUCAGCAGUAGUAGACAUUAAGCAAUGAGUGAAAACUUGACUUAGUUAAAGCGAAUCAGGGCUGGUAAAUCUUGUGCCAGCCGCCGCGGUUAUACAAGAGGCCCAAGUUAACUGCCUAACCGGCGUAAAGAGUGGUCCAGUAGUGUCAGCCCAACUAAGGCCGAAACGUGCCUGAGCUGUCAUAAGCUUAAGGCCCGAACAAGCCCGCCCCCAAAGCGGCCUUAGCAGUACCGACUAACCAACCCCACGAAAGCUGAGACCCAAACUGGGAUUAGAUACCCCACUAUGCUCAGCCCUAAAUCAGAGUGUUUACCCCUACUAAAACACCCGCCCGAGAACUACGAGCACAAACGCUUGAAACUCUAAGGACUUGGCGGUGCCCCACCCACCUAGAGGAGCCUGUUCUGUAAUCGAUAACCCACGAUACACCCGACCGUUCCUUGCCUGAGCAGCCUACAUACCGCCGUCGUCAGCCCACCUUCAUUGAGAGGCCACAAGUGGGCACAAUAGUUAUCUUACACUAACAAGACAGGUCAAGGUAUAGCCAAUGGACCGGAAGAAAUGGGCUACAUUUUCUAAGAUAGAACAACCAACGGAAGGAGGCAUGAAACUACCCCCAGAAGGCGGAUUUAGCAGUAAAACGAGAUUAGAUGGCCCGUUUAAAGCUGGCCCUGGGGCACGUACAUACCGCCCGUCACCCUCCUCACAAGCCUGCAGCUCACAGUAACUAACACGCCCAGUGGGGCUAAAGAGGAGGUAAGUCGUAACAAGGUAAGUGUACCGGAAGGUGCACUUAGCUCA
rnacentral:rRNA from 1 species